rnacentral:rRNA from 1 species
GACGAACGCUGGCGGCGUGCUUAACACAUGCAAGACGAACGAAGAGCGAUGGAAGCUUGCUUCUAUCAAUCUUAGUGGCGAACGGGUGAGUAACGCGUAAUCAACCUGCCCUUCAGAGGGGGACAACAGUUGGAAACGACUGCUAAUACCGCAUACGAUCUAAUCUCGGCAUCGAGGAAAGAUGAAAGGUGGCCUCUAUUUAUAAGCUAUCACUGAAGGAGGGGAUUGCGUCUGAUUAGCUAGUUGGAGGGGUAACGGCCCACCAAGGCGAUGAUCAGUAGCCGGUCUGAGAGGAUGAACGGCCACAUUGGGACUGAGACACGGCCCAGACUCCUACGGGAGGCAGCAGUGGGGAAUCUUCCGCAAUGGACGAAAGUCUGACGGAGCAACGCCGCGUGAGUGAUGACGGCCUUCGGGUUGUAAAGCUCUGUUAAUCGGGACGAAAGGCCUUCUUGCGAACAGUUAGAAGGAUUGACGGUACCGGAAUAGAAAGCCACGGCUAACUACGUG